rnacentral:tRNA from 1 species
GCGCCACCAGAGCGUCGUUGAUGCUCUUGGCGCCCUGGCUGCCGCCGGUGACGAGCAGCAGCUUGUCGCCGGGUGCGUAGCCCAGGGCCGCGCG